CGAACGAAUCUUCUUCGGAAGAUGAGUGGCGAACGGGUGAGUAAUACAUAGGUAACCUGCCCCUGUGCGGGGGAUAACAGGAGGAAACUCCUGCUAAUACCGCAUAGCCAUGAGCACCGCAUGGAGCUCAUGCCAAAUAUCCUUUCGGGGAUAGCGCAGGGAUGGACCUAUGGCGCAUUAGCUUGUUGGCGGGGCAACGGCCCACCAAGGCAACGAUGCGUAGCCGGCCUGAGAGGGCGGACGGCCACAUUGGGACUGAGACACGGCCCAGACUCCUACGGGAGGCAGCAGUAGGGAAUUUUCGGCAAUGGGGGAAACCCUGACCGAGCAACGCCGCGUGAGCGAAGAAGGCCUUCGGGUCGUAAAGCUCUGUUGUAAAGGAAGAACGGCGCAUACAGGAAAUGGUAUGCGAGUGACGGUACUUUACCAGAAAGCCACGGCUAACUACGUGCCAGCAGCCGCGGUAAUACGUAGGUGGCGAGCGUUAUCCGGAAUCAUUGGGCGUAAAGAGGGAGCAGGCGGCCGCAAGGGUCUGUGGUGAAAGACCGAAGCUAAACUUCGGUAAGCCAUGGAAACCGGGCGGCUAGAGUGCGGAAGAGGAUCGUGGAAUUCCAUGUGUAGCGGUGAAAUGCGUAGAUAUAUGGAGGAACACCAGUGGCGAAGGCGACGGUCUGGGCCGCAACUGACGCUCAUUCCCGAAAGCGUGGGGAGCAAAUAGGAUUAGAUACCCUAGUAGUCCACGCCGUAA
rnacentral:rRNA from 1 species